UACGUAGGUCCCGAGCGUUGUCCGGAUUUAUUGGGCGUAAGGCGAGCGCAGGUGGUUUAUUAAGUCUGGUGUAAAAGGCAGUGGCUCAACCAUUGUAUGCAUUGGAAACUGGUAGACUUGAGUUCAGGAGAGGAGAGUGGAAUUCCAUGUGUAGCGGUGAAAUGCGUAGAUAUAUGGAGGAACACCGGUGGCGAAAGCGGCUCUCUGGCCUGUAACUGACACUGAGGCUCGAAAGCGUGGGGAGCAAACAGG
rnacentral:rRNA from 1 species